AGGCGGAGAAGAACAACAAGGAUUCCCCUAGUAAUGGCGAAUGAAGCGGGAACAGCUCAAAUUUGAAAAUCUGCGUCGCUUGCGACGCCGAAUUGUAGUUUCGAGAAGCACUUUCUAGGCGAGUCCGGGGCCGUCCAAGAUGCUUGGAACAGCACGUCAUAGAGGGUGACAACCCCGUCUGUGGCGGAACCGGUCGCUGACGAUGCGCUUUCGACGAGUCGGGUUGUUUGGGAAUGCAGCCCAAAAAUGGGUGGUAAACUCCAUCUAAAGCUAAAUACUGGCACGAGACCGAUAGCGAACAAGUAACCGUGAGGGAAAGAUGAAAAGCACUUUGAAAAGAGAGUUAAACAGUACGUGAAACCGUUAAAAGGGAAACGGAUGGGGUCAGCAAUGCGCUGCGCGAGAUUCAGCCGGGCGUCGUGUCGGGCGGGCGGUUUGCGGAUCCGAAUGGACCGCGGCCGCCCGGUUCGGCGCUUCGACCGUCGCACUUCUCGCCAGCGCGCGCCAGCGUCGGUUGGCACCGGGUCUUAAAGUCGCGGGCAAGGUAGGCCUCCUCUCUCGGGAGGGAGCUGUUACAGGCCCGUGUCGCAUGGCCCGGGGCCGACCGAGGUGUCGCGGCGCGUGCCUCCCUUCGGGGUUGGCUGGGGUCCCGUCUCGCCGAUCGGUAGUAUAAUGUGGUGGACUGCGUGCAGUGCGCCGCGACCGCUGCCGGUCGCAUUAACGGUGAUUUCGCACGACGCGCCAAGGACGCUGGCGGUCAAAUGGCCUCAUUCGACCCGUCUUGAAACACGGACCAAGGAGUCUAACAUGUGCGCGAGUCUUCGAGUGAAUGAAGCUCGCCGGCGCAAUGAAAGUGAAGGCGGCCUCGUGUCGCUGAGGCGAGAGCCCGACCCUCGGGCCGGGCGCAUCGUCGACCGACCUAUUCUGCUCUCAGGAAGGUUUGAGUUGGGAGCGCAGGUGUUGGACCCGAAAAGAGGUAACUAUGCUG
rnacentral:rRNA from 1 species